AUCGCUUCUCGGCCUUUUGGCUAAGAUCAAGUGUAGUAUCUGUUCUUAUCAGUUUAAUAUCUGAUACGUCCCCUAUCCGGGGACUGCAUAUUAAAUGGAUUUUUGGAUCAUGGAGCUGGAGCCGGGGCUUGCUCUGCCCACUCCAUGCAUCGGUCUGGUAUUGCAGUAUCUCCAGAAACGGUGUGCUUCCC
rnacentral:snRNA from 1 species